rnacentral:rRNA from 1 species
AUUGAACGCUGGCGGAAUGCUUUACACAUGCAAGUCGAACGAUGAGACCUAGCUUGCUAGGUUGAUUAGUGGCGAACGGGUGAGUAAUGUAUCGGAACGUAUCCAAUAAUGGGGGAUAACUAACCGAAAGGUUAGCUAAUACCGCAUACGCCCUACGGGGGAAAGCAGGGGAUCUUCGGACCUUGCGUUAAUGGAGCGGCCGAUAUCUGAUUAGGUAGUUGGUGAGGUAAAGGCUCACCAAGGCGACGAUCAGUAGCUGGUCUGAGAGGACGACCAGCCACACUGGAACUGAGACACGGUCCAGACUCCUACGGGAGGCAGCAGUGGGGAAUUUUGGACAAUGGGCGAAAGCCUGAUCCAGCCAUUCCGCGUGAGUGAAGAAGGCCUUCGGUUUGUAAAGCUCUUUCGCAAGGGAAGAAAACUUACUUUCUAAUAAAGAGUGAGGUUGACGGUACCUUGAUAAGAAGCACCGGCUAACUACGUGCCAGCCGCCGCAGUAA